rnacentral:rRNA from 1 species
UACGGGGGGGGCAAGCGUUGUUCGGAAUUACUGGGCGUAAAGCGCACGUAGGCGGCUUUGUAAGUUAGAGGUGAAAGCCCAGGGCUCAACCCUGGAAUUGCCUUUAAGACUGCAUCGCUAGAAUUGUGGAGAGGUAAGUGGAAUUCCGAGUGUAGAGGUGAAAUUCGUAGAUAUUCGGAAGAACACCAGUGGCGAAGGCGACUUACUGGACACAUAUUGACGCUGAGGCGCGAAAGCUAGGGGAGCAAACGGG